UACGUAGGGGGCAAGCGUUGUCCGGAUUUAUUGGGAGUAAAGAGCGUGUAGGCGGCCAAACAGGUCAGCUGUGAAAACUCGAGGCUCAACCUCGAGACGUCGGUUGAAACCGUUUGGCUAGAGUCCGGAAGAGGAGAGUGGAAUUCCCGGUGUAGCGGCGAAAUGCGCAGAUAUCGGGAAGAACACCCGUGGCGAAGGCGGCUCUCUGGGACGGUACUGACGCUGAGACGCGAAAGCGUGGGGAGCGAACAGG
rnacentral:rRNA from 1 species